rnacentral:ncRNA from 1 species
GAUAACAGGCCGAUCUCUCCCGAUAGUACAUAAUGGAAGCAAGAUUUGGCACCUCGGUGUUGGCUCGUCGCAUCCUGAGGCUAUAACGGGUCUCGAGAGUUGGUCUGUUGGUUAUUGAAGCGGCACGUGAGCUGGAAUCAGAAUAUCGUGAGACAGGUC